UCCUCAUAUUGUGGGUGUGGCCAACAAAUUUAAAAAAAAUGAAUUUUCAUUGCUAUAUAAGUCUUGGUUGAAAUGAAAAGAAAGUACUCUUUAGAGUGCCUUAAGAUAGAAAAUGAUAUUCUCCAUAAUGUUUUUGAAUUUCACACACUCUAGGUCUUUCCUUACCUCAAUGUCUCUGCCACUGUUAACAUUCACCCUUUUACUUCUCAUCUCUGGAUCAUCAUUGACUGCUACCUAAGUAAACUACUCCAUAAGAUGACCCUCUGAAGGUACAAAUUCACAUUUUCUUUACCACAACAUAUUAAAAACUAGCUAUGUAGACUCUACAAAGAUUUUUCUCGCUUGAAAUUGAGAUGAACUUGAAGUUAAGAGAGGCAGUAGCCUGCACAUAUUAGUUUCUGACCCAGGUUAUACAAUGAUUCCUAGGGUGGAAAGUUUUAAGGAAAGAAAGCAAAGCCGUCUUCAUAAAAGUCUUAUUUCUUAGCUAGCAUGGUCUUAACAUAUUUAAAAACCUGGAAAAAAAAUAAUGGAGAAUUUUCACUUAAGACAAUUCUAUUUCAGUUUAACUAAUUUUAUAUGUCACAGCUGUGCCUCUAUUAAAGAACUCAGACUUGCCUCCUUGGCCAGCUAUGUGCUCAGUGAUGUGGCUGCACUCAGAGAACUCCGGUUCUGCACUUGAAAGAGUUGCUUGUCGAAACAUUCAGCUCUGAUGCAACCCUGAACAAUACAAGUGCAUAAUAAAGUGUAAUAGAUAGUGCUGCCAGCACCAGGGAGAAUAUCUCUAAACUCUAAAGAGUAUUUAAAUCUUCUAAAUUGGCUUCUUUGCAGUCAUUUUUUAAGCACUCUUUUGGAUUUCUUCAAACAAACGAUCUCAAGUCUUCUACAGAGAUGCCAAGAAAACAAUAGCAACUAAUCACCAUAUAUUUAAGACAGCAGGUUCCCAGCACUAUUUUAAGCACUUUGUAGAUGUUAUUUAAGAGCUGUAAAAACACAGUGUAGUUAACAUUAUUACCUUCUUUUUAUUGAUGAGAAAACUCAUGGUCAUCUUUGCAAAAAGCACUUCACAAUACAGUCUAAUAGUGUAAAAAGGAUGAGCCACUAGUAUCUUUUUCACGAAUGUAACGUUGGUAGCACAGCACUAUAACAGGCUCUUAUUAGAAGAUGCUAUUUAUUUUCUAUAUAAAUAGCAAUACUGACUCACAGCUUUUCACAUCCAAGAAAAGAAGACCAUGGCCCAUAACAGACAAAUAAAGGACAGAUCUUUCACUAGUCUUUUUCAUUUCUGUCUCACGCUCAUUCAACUGUAUUUUUUAGCAAAUAUCCAUGAUUGCCUUUACAUAAGAUAUUUAAAUAAAACAAGUGUUGGUAGACAAAAUGGAAAAGAAUGACAUUUAUUCUUUCCCAACUUAUUUUUUCCUUUUUUUUUCUUUUUUUUUUUUAGGGCUGCACCCAUGGCAUAUGGAGGUUCCCAGGCUAGGGGUCUAAUCAGAGCUAUAGCCACUGGCCUUGCCAGAGCCACAGCAAUGCCAGAUCCGAGCCGCGUCUGCGACCUACACCACAGCUCAUGGAAACACCGGAUCCUUAACCCACUGAGCGAGGCCAGGGAUCGAACCCACAACCUAAUGGUUCCUAGUCGGAUUCGUUUCUGCUGCGCCACAACAGAAACUCCUUAUUUUUGAAUUAAAUAAGUAAAUGAACUUUUAUUGUGUAAUUCUGGUCUUAGUGCCCUCAGAUAGGUUUUAAAGCUCUCUGAUUUUUACUGAACAUAUUGUACAAUUUUACCACAGUAUACGUUUAAAGUUUGUCCAAAGAUACUUUUAAAGACUAUCAGAGCAAUCUUUAUUUGCACUGAUUUAUUACUCAAAUUGUUGAGCUUUAUUAGAGAGGCCUAGUCUUUUUAAACUAACACUUAAGGGAGUUCCCAUCGUGGCACAACAGAGACGAAUCUGACUAGGAACCAUGAGGUUGCGGGUUCGAUCCCUGGCCUCGCUCAGUGGGUUGAGGAUCCAGCAUUGCUGUGAGUUGUAGUGUGGGUCACAGACAUGGCUCGGAUCUGGCAUUGCUAUGGCUCUGGCGUAGGUCAGCAGCUGAAGCUCCGAUUAGACACCUAAUCUAGGAACCUCCACAUGCCGUGGGUGUUGCCCUGAAAAGACAAAAGACAAAAAAAAAAAAACAAAAAAAACCUACAACUUAAGAUAGGGGUUAUUGGACUUGUGUUAUCAAGAUUUGUCUUAAAUUUCAUUCACAUAUCUCCAUAUUGGACCUCCACUACAGCAGCAUAUGAAAGUUCCAAUGGCUAGGGGUCAAAUCAGAGCUGCAUCUGUGGGCCUACAUCACAGCCACAGCAAUGCUGGAUCCAAGCCACAGCUUCCACCUAUACCGCAGCUGGCAGCAAUGCUGGAUCCUUAACCCACUGAGUGAGGCUGGGAAUCAAACCCAUGUUCUCACAGAUACUAGUCAGAUUCUUCACCCAUUGUGCCACAGUGAGAACUUCCAAUACCUUCUCUUUUAAUUGUAAUUUUUAUUUUUCUUUUAAUUAUUUUCACUAAGGAAAUGAGUAAUCAUUCUUCCUGUUAAGAAAAGUAACAUUCAUUCAAGAAAAAUGACUGUACAUGUAUAGUUAUUUUAUAUAUAUAUGAGACAAAGCUUUCUUUGAGAGAGAUUAUGGUAACUUUUCUCCAUGUUAUAUUGCAGCAAUAUGAUAUUUAUCUACUAUCUACUUUAGAGAACCAAGUCGUACAACUCUUGUUUGAUUUUAUAUUUACUAUUGUAUACUUAAUAAAUAAGCAAAUAUGUCUAGCUCCCAAAAUUUAUUCAUAAGAUUAAGAAUAAAGUCAAGUGAGUGAUAAAUUCAGGUAGAUGCUUCUGACUAAAGUUUAAUACCCUGUAUCUCUGCCAACUCAAACAUUUCCUCCCACCAAAAGAUUCCUGCUAUAUGCAAGUCACACAUCAAAAUGAAUCAUAGUCAUGCCACUACUUAUUUAUACCUGCCAAUUUAUGAUUACGGUAUUUAACAUAAUUAUGAAUAAUCAUGAUUCAGAAUAUGAGAAGUCACACAAGGAAAACAGGCCAAGUCUGAUAUGUAUCAUAUGUACCAAGAAAACCUGUCUUGUUUGCCUUCUGGUUAUGAAAAUGUUUACUCCAUAAAUGACUUUAAUACAGCCAACAGCUAACCCUGUUAUAACUUUAACUAUAGUUUGGGAUAAUAGCCUCCUGUGUAAAAAUUACCCACAUUGUUUAGUUAUUAACUUACUUCUUCAGGAAUAACACUGAAGAUUUUAUUCAGCCAAAACCAGACGAGUAGCUUAUACCAUAUAUAUUUAUAAUAUAUUACAUAUGGAAUAUAUAUGGCAUAUAAGUAUACAUGCAACUUUUAGAUCCUUUAUCUUGUUUUAAGCUCAAUUAUUUAUUCUAUCUUGUAACAAAAAGAACAACAAACACAUGAGAAGGUGACUUACAGUUUAGAUAACUCUUAGGACUUGUGAUUAUGUAACGGUGCUGUUAUAUAUAAAGAUGAAAUAAUCAACAAACCAAUGAAGCAGAAACAGCCAGUGUCACUAGAAAACUGCUUUUCAGAUUAGGUGGCUACAAGCUCCUGUGUAUCUCAGGUUUCUUUUUAAUGUUAAUGAUUGAACAUUUAUACAAAAAUAGUUAUAAAAUAAGCCUAAUAACAACAGGGUCAAUCACUCUUUCAUAAAUUGAGUACCCUCUGAUGUCUUCUGCCCCUUCUCUGUGGCCCCAGACCCGGCCCUUGAUAGGGUAGAAGAAUUCAUAGUCUGGGAUACAAAAGAGAUAAAUCAAUUCCGUAUUGCUAUGGAUAUCACCCCUUCCCAUAUCUUCCUCUCUUUGGUCUCCCUCCAUCAGCUUCAUUCCAAUUUCCUUUAGUGAGCACCUGGAAUUUAAGGAAGUGGGUAAGAAAAAAUGACAGAGGGCUCUGUAUAUCUUCAUCUCCUUUCUUCAAGGGUGCAAAGACCAGAAAAAGGAAUAUAUUAGAAAUAAUCAGGUAAGUGUAAGAUAACCUGAGGACAUAAAAGCCUAUGGCCUGCAUCCUGAGGCCUUUGGUGCAACGGUGAAAAGGAUGGGUGAAGAGAAUUGGCGAGGUAAGUAAGACCAACACAGCACUCCUUCCGUCAUGCCAGUUUCCUUGGCCAGGAGGUCUUAGAAAUUGUUGAAAGACCCAGAGGGCUAAUAUAGGCUGGCCUGGGGUAUGGACAGAGUGCUAGUAAGUGAGAAUGCCUCAAAGGCAACAAGCAUCCUGUUACGUCAUCGUGGUAAUAGGUAUAGGAAUCAUCCUGACCCAGUAGGAUCCAGGAGACUGCAUAUGGGUGGAUCUCUGGCACCAUUAUCUCUUUAUGCCACGAGAUCACAUAAGGCCCUACAUGCCAAGAAGCCACAUGGUAGAGGUAGAAAUCUAAAAAAUUGAACAUUUACUUGAAAGAGACUGAAUCACUUAAAAAUGAUACAUGGAGCAGCAUGAUGACUUCACCACUUCUUACCAUGCCACUCAGAGGUGGGAGCUAAUGAGGAUGAGAAUGAUUCAGUCAUCCAUCCACUGAGCACACAGAGGCAUCAAACAGAAUGCACUUAUUCUUCACAGGGCAGCUGAAGGGAUGAUCAAUUACCACUUGCUUCAGUCUGGAGAGAAAAAAAAAGGAGUAAGGAAAUUGGUACCCAAACUUCUGAUUCCGUGUAGUUGUUUCCAUCCUCACCCUCGUUUUAAAAACUAUCCUCUUUCAACUUGAUGUGUUUUGGCUGGCUGUAAACUGGGAGGAAGGAUUUGGCUGACAAGACGAGGGUGGCUCUCUCUGAUAUCUUCAGUUGUUAAACUUUUUUUAGUUAAGAAACACUCCAAUGGUGGCCAGCUUCUUAUCAAAAAACCAAACCACAAAAGCAAAAUGCCAUUUUUCAACAACUUUAUGAAUCAUUCUUUUUUCUUCUAAACUCUGACUAAAGCUAGUUUUUGUUCUCUUAUAUUGUUUUUUCC
rnacentral:lncRNA from 1 species